AUGACCUCUCAGUUCUGAUUUAGGGUAUUUUUGGUGUUAUUGCUACCUUCGUCAAGGGUCAUGGUUUAAGGAAUGUGUCACGUUUCUUCAGAGAUUCCAGUCGGAAUCCAAGCCGAGAUAAUGGAUGCUCUAGGGUUUAUGAAGAAACACAAAGAUCCUCUUUAAAUGGCUUCCGGUAAGACGAUUAGGGUUCCGGCGUGCUGGACUGCCAUCUCUGUCAAAAAGGGUAACAAUCAUGUCUACCUACUUUGUUUGUUAUUUGAGUCGAUCUACCUUUUUUGUUUGUGUGUAAUACUUUCAGAUAUGUGUUAGGUUCCUCAAAGAUAGUGGUUGUGGGUGGAAGACGAUGACACAAGCCUUGGUAAUUUCAGAUCUCUAUUGACC